GAUCAUGGCUCAGGAUGAACGCUGGCGGCGUGCUUAACACAUGCAAGUCGACCGAAGCACUUCAUAAAGCUUGCUUUAGGAAGUGACUUAGUGGCGGACGGGUGAGUAACGCGUGGGUAACCUGCCUUACACAGGGAGAUAACAGUUAGAAAUGACUGCUAAUACCGCAUAAAACAGCAGAGUCGCAUGACUCAACUGUCAAAGAUUUAUCGGUGUAAGAUGGACCCGCGU
rnacentral:rRNA from 1 species